CUUAAGCUGUAGAAUUUGAAUUCUGGGCUUUAGCUCUAGAUAUCAAAUGUGAGGAUAAGGUAAUGGUUCUGUUUUCCCAAUUCAUGCCCCUCUCAUAAGCGGCAUUCUCUCAUGAGCAAUCCAAAAUGUAGAAAAAGCAAAAGCAAGAGCUUUUUUUUUUCUUUCCAAAGAUAUACAACUCUUUAGCUAUGGUUAGUAAGUAUGAUUUUGACAUCAAAAUACUUGUUUAUCACUGAAUCUAUUCACAGGGUUGGGAUAUCCUCAUAGUUUCUCAGGCCCUAUAUGGUCAAGGCUCACCUUCAAACGGUUGCAAGCAGCCUGACAAUUUUAUUUUAGUUGUCUUUUUAAAUUUUACUCAGUUAAGUUUGGUCACAGCGCGGAGUCUGACUAUCAAGGCUGAGGCCUAAACAGUUGAGGGCGAACUAAGCCUAGCACAAGGGAAUAGUUCUGCGCAGUUCGGACUGGAAAAGCAAGCAAUGAAGGGUGUGUUUUUAAACAACCAGAUGAUGGCGCUGAUGAUAAGAAGAAGAGCACUUCGGUUGAAGCUCUGUUUUUUUCUUCCUUUCGUUGUUGUAACAAGAGAGUCGAUGUCAUCACGGGGCUUUGCAUACUGGAUACUGGGUUUCGGUUAAUUGCAAAGUCUGGAACAGCUCCAUCUUCAUCGCCGGCGGCGGUUCGUUGUUGCUUUUUCUGUUAAAUGGGCUAGAGCUCUUGGGAGUACAAGGGGCUCGGUUCUGGACAUUGUUGAUAAGUUUUCAUGUCUUUGAGCCUAGGACCUUUUUCUGUACUAGUACCCAAUGGGCUUUUAUAUAGAGAUAAAGCUUUAAUAGAGCUUUGGUACCAAAACAAGGAUGGUGGAUUCUCACAAAUUCUAACUCUCUCUUUGCUCAAGUACUCCAAGUCAAAUAUUUUCCUCUUACCACUUUCCGUUAAAGCUGAAGAUAAAAUUAGGAAAUGAACCCUUCCUCCUUGUCUCAUAAUUCUGCUUUUGAGAAAGAUUUUUUGGAAAUUGAAAUUUUCAGGUAAGAUUAACAUCUUUCUUUGGCUUUUUUGUUUGAAAAAAUUACCAAUUUUUGCAUGUUGGGUUGCCUCUAUCACCCCAGCAUGUUGCUUUUGUGGUGCUUAUGAAUAUAUUGAUCACAAUUUUCUUUUCUUGCCCUUAUGUUAUUGAGAUUGGUUAUAUUCACCAUUGGGGCUCUA